AACUCGUGAUGUGGACAUUUUCUUAGUAGCACUUUAAAUCUCUCCCAAGCUUCAUAUAAGGAUUCUCUUUCCUUUGUGUAAAGCAAGAAAUUUCUCUUCACAUCU